rnacentral:rRNA from 1 species
AGUGAACGCUGGCGGUAGGCCUAACACAUGCAAGUCGAACGGCAGCACACUAAGAGCUUGCUCUUCCGGGUGGCGAGUGGCGGACGGGUGAGGUAUACAUCUGACUCUAUUUUUUCGUGGGGGUUCACGUAGGGAAACUUACGCUAAUAUCGCAUACGCCCUACGGUUGAAAGCAGUGGAUCUUCGCACCUUGCGCGAUUGAAUGCGCCGAUGUCGGAUUAGCUAGUUGGCGGGGUAAUGGCCCACCCAGGCGACGAUCCGUAGCUGGUCUGAGAGGAUGAUCAGCCACACUGGAACUGAGACACGGUCCAGACUCCUACGGGAGGCAGCAGUGGGGAAUAUUGGACAAUGGGCGCAAGCCUGAUCCAGCCAUACCGCGUGGGUGAAGAAGGCCUUCGGGUUGUAAAGCCCUUUUGUUGGGAAAGAAAAGCAGCAGGUUAAUACCCCGCUGUUCUGACGGUACCCAAAGAAUAAGCACCGGCUAACUUCGUG